rnacentral:rRNA from 1 species
CGAAACGAAGUGAUCUAUCCAUGAGCAAGUUGAAGCUAGUGUAAGAACUAGUGGAGGACUGAACCCAUAGGCGUUGAAAAGCCCCGGGAUGACUUGUGGAUAGGGGUGAAAGGCCAAUCAAACUUCGUGAUAGCUGGUUCUCUCCGAAAUAUAUUUAGGUAUAGCGUUGUGUCGUAAUAUAAGGGGGUAGAGCACUGAAUGGGCUAGGGCAUACACCAAUGUACCAAACCCUAUCAAACUCCGAAUACCUUAUAUGUAAUCACAGCAGUCAGGCGGCGAGUGAUAAAAUCCGUCGUCAAGAGGGAAACAACCCAGACUACCAGCUAAGGUCCCUAAAUCUUACUUAAGUGGAAAACGAUGUGAAGUUACUUAAACAACCAGGAGGUUGGCUUAGAAGCAGCCAUCCUUUAAAGAAAGCGUAAUAGCUCACUGGUCUAGUGAUUUUGCGCGGAAAAUAUAACGGGGCUAAAGUAAGUACCGAAGCUGUAGACUUGCGCACAACUUAGAUUAUUUAAGUUUAGAAUAUGAGAAACUAAGUUAUAUUUUUACUGAUUUUUAUAGAGUAAAGAUAGAAAUAAAACUUAGUAAAAUCAGUAAAAAUAUUCUUAGGCUAAAGUUAAGUAGUUUAAGUUGUGUGCAAGUGGUAGGAGAGCGUUCUAUUUGCGUCGAAGGUAUACCGGUAAGGAGUGCUGGAGCGAAUAGAAGUGAGCAUGCAGGCAUGAGUAGCGAUAAUUAAUGUGAGAAUCAUUAACGCCGUAAACCCAAGGUUUCCUACGCGAUGCUCGUCAUCGUAGGGUUAGUCGGGUCCUAAGUCGAGUCCGAAAGGGGUAGACGAUGGCAAAUUGGUUAAUAUUCCAAUACCAACAUUAGUGUGCGAUGGAAGGACGCUUAGGGCUAAGGGGGCUAGCGGAUGGAAGUGCUAGUCUAAGGUCGUAGGAGGUUAUACAGGCAAAUCCGUAUAACAAUACUCCGAGAACUGAAAGGCUUUUUGAAGUCUUCGGAUGGAUAGAAGAACCCCUGAUGCCGUCGAGCCAAGAAAAGUUUCUAAGUUUAGCUAAUGUUGCCCGUACCGUAAACCGACACAGGUGGGUGGGAUGAGUAUUCUAAGGCGCGUGGAAGAACUCUCUUUAAGGAACUCUGCAAAAUAGCACCGUAUCUUCGGUAUAAGGUGUGGUUAGCUUCGUACUAGGAUUUACUCCGAAAGCGAAGAAACUUACAACAAAGAGUCCCUCCCGACUGUUUACCAAAAACACAGCACUCUGCUAACUCGUAAGAGGAUGUAUAGGGUGUGACGCCUGCCCGGUGCUCGAAGGUUAAUUGAUGGGGUUAGCAUUAGCGAAGCUCUUGAUCGAAGCCCGAGUAAACGGCGGCCGUAACUAUAACGGUCCUAAGGUAGCGAAAUUCCUUGUCGGUUAAAUACCGACCUGCAUGAAUGGCGUAACGAGAUGGGAGCUGUCUCAAAGAGGGAUCCAGUGAAAUUGUAGUGGAGGUGAAAAUUCCUCCUACCCGCGGCAAGACGGAAAGACCCCGUGGACCUUUACUACAGCUUGACACUGCUAUUUGGAUAAGAAUGUGCAGGAUAGGUGGGAGGCUUUGAGUAUAUGACGCCAGUUGUAUAGGAGCCAUUGUUGAGAUACCACUCUUUCUUAUUUGGGUAGCUAACCAGCUUGAGUUAUCCUCAAGUGGGACAAUGUCUGGUGGGUAGUUUGACUGGGGCGGUCGCCUCCCAAAUAAUAACGGAGGCUUACAAAGGUUGGCUCAGAACGGUUGGAAAUCGUUCAUAGAGUAUAAAGGUAUAAGCCAGCUUAACUGCAAGACAUACAAGUCAAGCAGAGACGAAAGUCGGUCUUAGUGAUCCGGUGGUUCUGUGUGGAAGGGCCAUCGCUCAAAGGAUAAAAGGUACCCCGGGGAUAACAGGCUGAUCUCCCCCAAGAGCUCACAUCGACGGGGAGGUUUGGCACCUCGAUGUCGGCUCAUCGCAUCCUGGGGCUGGAGCAGGUCCCAAGGGUAUGGCUGUUCGCCAUUUAAAGCGGUACGCGAGCUGGGUUCAGAACGUCGUGAGACAGUUCGGUCCCUAUCUGCCGUGGGCGUAAGAAGAUUGAAGAGAUUUGACCCUAGUACGAGAGGACCGGGUUGAACAAACCACUGGUGUAGCUGUUGUUCUGCCAAGAGCAUCGCAGCGUAGCUAAGUUUGGAAAGGAUAAACGCUGAAAGCAUCUAAGCGUGAAGCCAACUCUAAGAUGAAUCUUCUCUAAGCUCUCUAGAAGACUACUAGUUUGAUAGGCUGGGUGUGUAAUGGAUGAAAGUCCUUUAGCUGACCAGUACUAAUAGAGCGUUUGGCUUAUCUUUAAUAAAGCAU